rnacentral:rRNA from 1 species
UAGGGAAUCUUCCGCAAUGGGCGAAAGCCUGACGGAGCAACGCCGCGUGAGUGAUGAAGGUCUGCGGAUCGUAAAACUCUGGGAGUAGGGAAGAACAAAGGUGUAAGUAACUAUGCACGUCUUGACGGGACCUAAGCAGAAAGCCACGGCUAACUACGUGCCAGCAGCCGCGGUAAUACGUAGGUGGCAAGCGUUAUCCGGAAUGAUUGGGCGUAAAGCGCGCGUAGGCGGUUUUUUAAGUCUGAUGUGAAAGCCCACGGCUCAACCGUGGAGGGUCAUUGGAAACUGGAAAACUUGAGUGCAGAAGAGGAAAGUGGAAUUCCAUGUGUAGCGGUGAAAUGCGCAGAGAUAUGGAGGAACACCAGUGGCGAAGGCGACUUUCUGGUCUGUAACUGACGCUGAUGUGCGAAAGCGUGGGGAUCAAACAGG